rnacentral:rRNA from 1 species
UUUGUUUUUUAAUUUAAAACUAGAAUGAAAGGUUUAACGUUUUAACUUCCUUAUUAUUUAUAUCUAUUUAAUUUAUAUUAAAUAUAAAAAGAUAUUUAUUUAAUAUUUAGACGACAAGACCCUAUUGAACUUAAUUUAAAUUUAGCUGGGGCAGCUAAUUAAUUAAAAUUUUAAGUUACUUUACAAAAAUCCAAUAAAAUUGAAUUAAUCAAGUUACCAUAGGGAUAACAGCAUAAUUUAAAUUUUAAGAUCAUAUUAAAAUUGAAUCUUAUGACCUCGAUGUUGAAUUAAAAUUACUUUAUAUAGUGCAGUAACUAUAAAAGUAGGUCUGUUCGACCUUUAAUAUUUUACAUGAUUUGAGUUCAAACCGGUGUAAACCAGGUUGGUUUCUAUCUAAUUAAUUAUUUAUCUAGUACGAAAGGACAAAUAAAUAUAUUAAUUAAAUUAGCAAAUAAUUGCAAUAGAUUUAGAAUCUACUCCUACUUUAAUUAAUUUACUUAAUUCUAUUAUCCCAAUAAUUUGUUUACUAAUUAGUGUAGCUUUUUACACAAUUUUAGAACGAAAAAUUUUAAGUUAUAUUCAAAUUCGAAAAGGACCAAAUAAAGUAGGAUUUAUAGGUAUUUUACAACCUUUCAGCGAUGCAAUUAAAUUAUUUAAUAAAAACCUUUUAUCCUCAGAAUUUAUAAAUUUUUCUUUAUCCUAUUUUACUCCUGCAUUAUCUUUAAUAUUAAUAUUAUUAAUUAUAUCCUUCAUUCCUAUAUAUAUAUAUUCACCUUUUGAUAAUAAACAUAAUAUUCUUUUAUUUUUUAUCAUCUCUAGACUAUCUGUUUAUUCAAUUUU